CUCAUACUGAGGCCGCUGAGUAUGUUGUACAUGUGAUGUGUGAUGCUGAAGAAAUCCAGGACAGUCCCUUCAUGACCUCCAUCAGACCUGAGAGAAAAUACUUCCACCCUGACCAGGUAAAGUAGAAGGACCAGGUGUUUCCCAAACUGGCUGCAUAGUGAACCUUCAAACUGAAUUCACUGUAGAUGCCAGGCAAGCUGGUGAAGGAGAACUUAAAGUGUUGAGGGCAGAAAUAUAAUUCCUCUUGGUGCCGUUAAUCAAGCUGGGUUUAUAUCCUGUGAUAUAGUCCUGCCAUCAGACUUAAGAGAAGGUGAAAUUACAGGUGAGCUGUUGCCUGGAUUCACAUGUUCAUUUUAAUAAUUGUGGCCUCACAUAAUUAUUAUAAUGGUAUUCACAGGUGAGGUGAUAACACCAUCUGGAAAGACAGGACGGCCUGAUGUGAUUGAUAACAAAGACGGUACAGUCAUUCUAAAGUUUGAUCCCUCCACAAAGAAACGAUCUACCAGGUUAGACUGUAUGGAAAACAUUGAAUUGUCUCUCUUCUUUUGAGAGAUAUAUAUAUAUUACAACUUGGCAUAACAAGAAAAGUGUUUUUUUUUUUUUUUUUACUUUUUAUAUAUACGAUCACAUUUCUUUUUAUAUAAUCUGAUCACAUUUCUUCAUAUAACUAAGAAUUUUGGUUGUUUAGGGGGUGAAUUAAAAUAGGAUGUCUUGAUUUUGUUAUUUUGCCUAUUUUAAUGCUUGUUUUGUCAUAUUUUAUAUUAUUUUAAGUCAUAGUUUUCCAAGGUUACUUGGUUGAGAUCCACUUUUUUCAUAUAUUUGUUCUAGAUGUCACUAAAUAUCAGCUUUACCAAUUUACUGAAUAUAUUUGCUCUUCUUAAUUUUGAUUAAUAUUUAUUACAUCAGAACGGUUUAAAUACGAUUCUUUCUCCCUUCUGCAGAACUCCCACUGCAGUGUUAUGCUGAUAGUCUUGCUAACCGCAGCACGAUGGCGUAUGGACGUGGCCUUGUGUAUGGAAUUGCAAAUGAGAUGGCAACAUUCACCAUCUGUCAGGAAGAUUCAGCCUGGAGUGAACUGGACAUCACAGUUGAGGGUCCAUCUGAGGCAGAUGUGCGCUGCUUGGACAGGGAAGAUGGUACUUGUACUGUGAGCUACUU
ensembl:lncRNA